rnacentral:RNase_P_RNA from 1 species
GAAGUUUGCCAGACAGUCGCCGCCGUUGCAUGCAGCGGGGGAGGAAAGUCCGGGCUCCACAGGGCAGGAUGCCGGCUAACGGCCGGGCGUCGCGAGGCGACGGAAAGUGCAACAGAGAGCUGAACCGCCGAUGGCCCCUCCGGGGGAUCAGGUAAGGGUGAAAAGGUGCGGUAAGAGCGCACCGCAGCCGUGGCAACACGGUCUGGCAGGGUAAACCCCAUCCGGAGCAAGACCAAAUAGGCAGGCGUUGAAGGUGCCCCCUGAGCCUGCGGGUAGGUUGCUUGAGUCCGCCAGUAAUGGCGGGCCUAGAGGAAUGACUGUCAGUCGUGCCCUGGCAACAGGGCAAGGCAACAGAACCCGGCUUAUCGGCAGACUUCCACA